CCGCCGAGUGAUUUUGACAGUGGAAAAGCCUGCCCGGGCUUGGGAUGGCAGUGUUUUCGUUUAGAAUGGUCUGAAUAGUCAGCUCACGCGAAGCUAGGGCCGGAACAGCUCGGAUUCUAAAACUGCGCGCCCGCUUGUCUUGGCCGUAUUUCUGUGGUACAGCCAGGCUUGGGGUAAAGGAAGAGCCCAUUCUAAGUAAAGAAAGAGCUUGCGGCAUUUGGAAGGCAAAGAGGGGGCAGGCAGAAGAGCCGUCGGGGUGUACAGCGUGCUGGGGCUCCGGGGCUUUGAAAUCCUUUCCUGUGCUGUCACUUGAAUGUCGAACACGUUAUUCUCAGUGGACACUAAAAAGAAGUACACAGGCAGAUGAUUUUACAGAAGAGGAAGAAGCAUGGAAACGCAACACUGUGUCCAAUGUAAUGCAGCGGAGGAAUACAGGUCAUUUGAGUGCAGUUAACCCGAGGUUGAAGUUCAAUCAUGAUUUGACAAAAUCCAACCACAGAUGCAUGGCUGCCUUCCAACUUCAGUGCUCGUCUACAAGAAGAGUCCUAACAUGGAUGGUAGUUGAUAGUCUUCAUCAACAUCAACAAAUAUCAGGAAUGAAGCAAUGGACCUGGAUCUUCACAUGUUUGUUAGUGAUGGACAGCCUUCUUGGCCAAUUGGGUAAUAGAAAGUUGUUGGCAACGGAAGAAGCUUCCCCCAAUUUUCUGUGAUGUUCACAACGUAAUCAUCACAAGCACGAUACAUUUUCAUUUGCAUUGUUAACAUUUUUGUAAGUCUAGGCCAGAGGCUGACCAAGUUAAUCAAGUGCUGUAUUGUAAGUCUUGAGGCAUCUUUAUGUUUUGUGGUUGAGAGAUGUCUCAUUCCCCUCCCCUCCCUCCUCUACUCCCUCUUCUUCCCUCCUCUGCUCUCCCCUCUCUCUCCUUUUUCUCCUCUCAUCUACUUCCUUCUUCUUCCCUUCCUUCCCAUUUCUCUUUUCUUUUCUUUUUUCUUUCCCCCCUUUUCUCCCCUCAUCUCUUAAAAAAAAUGUGAACACGUAUGGGUCGCACAACACUGAUGUUUGCCUGGAUUUGGUGCACGUGCUGUGGUUUGCUGACCUCUGGUGUGGACACUUACCACACACUAAGUCAAGCCCCGUGCUGGCUAAUUUCUGUGGUGUGAGUGUUCUCUGAGCUCUCACUAUAGUGACAUUGUACACGGAGUCAGAAAGAACAGCACACCAUGACAGCAUUCAGUUUCAGGCAGCCAACACCCUCACAAGCAUAAGACCCAUCCAAUUACUAUGAUGAAGUGUUUAAAAUGUUUGUUCAUUGUUCUUUAAGUAAGCAUCUUAAUUUUCAGCACAUAUAGUCCAAUUUUUAAUAAUGGCUGUGCUUAGCCAUCAACUCCGAACCAUUCUGAAGAUACAGCUGCCAUCUUUUGUGAACUAAGAACAGACUCUCGUGUGUCACUGGGUAGGAUCCUGCAUCUUUAUUUUUCCCAAAGCUUCCUAAGGGAUUUCUGGGUACACCUCAGUUAUCAGUGCAUCUGGCCCUGUGCAUGGUUGCCUGGGUUUCAAAACCUGUGGGUUCCAUUAUCAGAAGUCUCUGAUGGAGCCCUUCUAGUCUCUCUCUGCUUAUCCUACUCACCGGCUUCUAACGGUGCAUCGCCGGAGUUAUCAUUGCUCUGCAAGCCUGGCACAGCCUCCCUGGUCCUCUGCUCUCAUUAACCACCCUCGCUGCUUUGAUGGCUGAACAGUUUGCCAGCUUUAAUCUUAAAUAUUUAUUUGUAACUCGUGGGUAGCAUUCCCCACCUUUCCUCUCUCUGGGAACUAGCGCCUGGCAUAUAGCCAGUACACUCUAGAUAUGAGAAGAAUGAAUCUUCCAGGAGUACCCGGGUUCCAGGGGUCAGUGGUCCGUGGGAAGAGACAGUCAGAUCAUGGAGGCUUUGUGGGCAUCUUUUACCUGUUCAAGCUCCCCACUGCCAGCGGACGUGGGAAGUGUGGUCUAUGAGGGACUGGCGAUCAGUGGGAGGAAAACAACCGUCUUUCUGAUUUGACCAUCUCUUCCAGGGGUUAAGUGGUUUUCCUGUGGCUCUCCUGGAAGCUCUGGCUCCUGGGCUCGGUUAACCUCCUCUCUCCUCUUUGUCCCUGUAAUACUGAGUACCCUGCUUCCUGCUGGUGCUUAUCUCCGGAUUGUCUUUCCCUCCCCUUCACCCUUUCACCUCUCUCUGCAGCAACUCUCCUGCAUUAAGUUCCCUCUCUCCAGCUCUUUUGUUCCUAGGACCCUGUCAGAUGAAGCCUGACAUGCUGUGAUGAGGGGCCUGGUCUCGCGUCCUCUGUGGGCUCUUCCACUCAAAGCACCGUGGCAGGAGCAUUCCAUGAUGAAAUGGAGCUCUCCUAGUUGCUUCCUAGAAGAUUCAGUUAGCAGACAUACUGGCAGUUUGGGGGAACCCUAGGGAAUUUGGAGAGAGCCUUGAAGGAUCUGAGAACUUUCCGUCACUCCACGCCACAUGUUACGUAUGUGUGUAAUCAGUUUUGUUCUGGGAUGGGAGCCCAUAGCUUUCUUCAAGAUUCUCCAAGGGAAUCCAAAACAUGUUAAGGUCUAUUGGGCUAGUUUUGUAGGGAGACCAGUCAGGAGUCCAGUGGGUCGAUGUUCAGCGUGGGUCCUAGCGGGAAAUGGAACUGACCUGAGAGGAUGCAGAUGGAGACUUUAGAGAGGGGACCACCUUCAGAAGAUGGGCAGAGCGAUGUGACGAACAGAAGACGGCAGCCUCUCUAGGUUAGCAACUAUGUAGAAUUAUUAGACCCUGUAGUGUCACAGGAAGAUCCUGGGUGACUGGGGCUUGCGAUGGCUACAGCCACUCAAUACAAGCAGAGUUUUGGGGGGACUCAGAGAGGGACAAAGGAAGGGCCUGGUUGACCGCUAUCGUCUUGUCCUGGCAGCCAGUCUGAGUGAUGUGGUGAGCAGGGCAGAGAGUGGUAGAGAAUGUGGGUAAACCGACGGCAUGGGACAGAGCAGCGUGGGUGGAGAGUCACCAGGGCAGAGAGUGGUAGAGAAUGUGGGUAAACUGACGGCAUGGGACAGAGCAGCGUGGGUGGAGAGUCACCAGGGCAGAGAGUGGUAGAGAAUGUGGGUAAGCUGACAGCACAGGACAGAGCAGCGUGGGUGGAGAGUCACCAGCACACACUGAACCCACACUGAACACACUGCCUCAACCGCCCCAGAGGGAAGUGGCCCAUCACGUUUGGUGGCUCCGGGCAACGUCACUCCCCAUCUGAUUUUGCUUUUUUUGAUCAGAUCUUUUCCCACUAACUCGGCCCUGCCUCCAAAAGCCAGAUCAAGAGACGCAAAACACAGAUUGCUCUGUUGUUGUUAACUUCACUUUUCCAUUGUGACUUAGAAGCUCUUUGGCCUCGGAAGUCACAAAAAUGUGCCUUGGGCUUCAUCCAUAAAGGACACGAGCUGGAUUUGAUGUUCUCUGUGGUACCUUCUGGCUUUAACAGGUUUUGAUGUUCGGAGAGGGUCUUUGGCUCCUUCCCGCUUAAAGGCCUCCAGUGUUCUGACUCCUUCUAAGGAGGUGGGCACCCUCCCUUGUCCAUUGUCAUUGCAGUGGUAUGGAGGCUGCAGGAGGCCAAUGGUGACUCUGCCCCGGUCCCUGCAAAGAGCAGCCUGUGCAUUAUCAGCAUUUAUCGACUCUGGUCAUGCUGUUCAUCGUUGUCGGCAUUUGUGCAGAAAUGCUUCCCUCUAUGGAGGUGUCUAAGUGCUAUGGAGGCCACAGAGGUGUUGAGUUUGCCCAUCUA